rnacentral:rRNA from 1 species
GACGAACCGUGCGAACGUUGUUCGGAAUCACUGGGCUUAAAGGGCGCGUAGGCGGGCUGCCAAGUCUGGGGUGAAAUCCCACGGCUCAACCGUGGAACUGCCUCGGAUACUGGCGGCCUCGAGGGAGGUAGGGGCGUGCGGAACUGUGGGUGGAGCGGUGAAAUGCGUUGAUAUCCACAGGAACUCCGGCGGCGAAGGCGGCACGCUGGACCUUUUCUGACGCUGAGGCGCGAAAGCCAGGGGAGCAAACGGG